AUGAUUAUGGUUUUGUGUGAUGAUGAUGUCUUUAGCCACCAAAUUGGCUUCAAAGUUGUUAAGUCAUCAAUACCCUCCUCUUACAUUCUUCUACUUCACUCCUCUGGUUUUCAUUCCUCUAAAACAAAAAAUGUUGAAUCUGUGCAGAAGAAUGAACUUGUAGAGAUUAAUUAUAGUUUAGACGCCGGUAAGAUUCUUAGUUAUUGA